GACGAACGCUGGCGGCGUGCUUAACACAUGCAAGUCGAACGGAAAGGCCCUGCUUUUGUGGGGUGCUCGAGUGGCGAACGGGUGAGUAACACGUGAGUAACCUGCCCUUGACUUUGGGAUAACUUCAGGAAACUGGGGCUAAUACCGGAUAGGAGCUCCUGCUGCAUGGUGGGGGUUGGAAAGUUUCGGCGGUUGGGGAUGGACUCGCGGCUUAUCAGCUUGUUGGUGGGGUAGUGGCUUACCAAGGCUUUGAAGGGUAGCCGGCCUGAGAGGGUGACCGGCGACAUUGGGACUGAGAUACGGCCCAGACUCCUACGGGAGGCAGCAGUGGGGAAUAUUGCACAAUGGGCGGAAGCCUGAUGCAGCAACGCCGCGUGCGGGAUGACGGCCUUCGGGUUGUAAACCGCUUUCGCCUGUGACGAAGCGUGAGUGACGGUAAUGGGUAAAGAAGCACCGGCUAACUACGUG
rnacentral:rRNA from 1 species